rnacentral:rRNA from 1 species
GGUUAAGCGACUAAGCGUACACGGUGGAUGCCCUGGCAGUCAGAGGCGAUGAAGGACGUGCUAAUCUGCGAAAAGCGUCGGUAAGGUGAUAUGAACCGUUAUAACCGGCGAUGUCCGAAUGGGGAAACCCAGUGCAAUUCGUUGCACUAUCGUUAACUGAAUACAUAGGUUAACGAGGCGAACCGGGGGAACUGAAACAUCUAAGUACCCCGAGGAAAAGAAAUCAACCGAGAUUCCCCCAGUAGCGGCGAGCGAACGGGGAGCAGCCCGGAGUCUGAAUCAGCUUGUGUGUUAGUGGAAGCGUCUGGAAAGUCGCAGGGUACAGGGUGAUACUCCCGUACACUAAAACACACAGGUUGUGAACUCGAAGAGUAGGGCGGGACACGUGGUAUCCUGUCUGAAUAUGGGGGGACCAUCCUCCAAGGCUAAAUACUCCUGACUGACCGAUAGUGAACCAGUACCGUGAGGGAAAGGCGAAAAGAACCCCGGCGAGGGGAGUGAAAAAGAACCUGAAACCGUGUACGUACAAGCAGUAGGAGCCCCACCACCAAAGCGUUUCGCUUUGCGUGGUGCGCAAAAUGCGUAACGACAGCAUGAUGGACGGUUAACGGAGCGUCAGCGACGUUCAACCUCAAAAAUCAGGCAGUGGAGCGUUUUGGGGUGGGGUGACUGCGUACCUUUUGUAUAAUGGGUCAGCGACUUAUAUUCUGUAGCAAGGUUAACCGAAUAGGGGAGCCGCAGGGAAACCGAGUCUUAACUGGGCGUUAAGUUGCAGGGUAUAGACCCGAAACCCGGUGAUCUAGCCAUGGGCAGGUUGAAGGUUGGGUAACACUAACUGGAGGACCGAACCGACUAAUGUUGAAAAAUUAGCGGAUGACUUGUGGCUGGGGGUGAAAGGCCAAUCAAACCGGGAGAUAGCUGGUUCUCCCCGAAAGCUAUUUAGGUAGCGCCUCGUGAACUCAUCUUCGGGGGUAGAGCACUGUUUCGGCUAGGGGGUCAUCCCGACUUACCAACCCGAUGCAAACUACGAAUACCGAAGAAUGUUAUCACGGGAGACACACGGCGGGUGCUAACGUCCGUCGUGAAGAGGGAAACAACCCAGACCGCCAGCUAAGGUCCCAAAGUCAUGGUUAAGUGGGAAACGAUGUGGGAAGGCCCAGACAGCCAGGAUGUUGGCUUAGAAGCAGCCAUCAUUUAAAGAAAGCGUAAUAGCUCACUGGUCGAGUCGGCCUGCGCGGAAGAUGUAACGGGGCUAAACCAUGCACCGAAGCUGCGGCAGCGACACUAUGUGUUGUUGGGUAGGGGAGCGUUCUGUAAGCCGUUGAAGGUGGCCUGUGAGGGUUGCUGGAGGUAUCAGAAGUGCGAAUGCUGACAUAAGUAACGAUAAUGCGGGUGAAAAACCCGCACGCCGGAAGACCAAGGGUUCCUGUCCAACGUUAAUCGGGGCAGGGUGAGUCGACCCCUAAGGCGAGGCCGAAAGGCGUAGUCGAUGGGAAACAGGUUAAUAUUCCUGUACUUGGUGUUACUGCGAAGGGGGGACGGAGAAGGCUAUGUUGGCCGGGCGACGGUUGUCCCGGUUUAAGCAUGUAGGCGGAUGUUCCAGGUAAAUCCGGAACGUUACUAACGCUGAGGUGUGAUGACGAGGCACUACGGUGCUGAAGUGACAAAUGCCCUGCUUCCAGGAAAAGCCUCUAAGCAUCAGGUAACAUCAAAUCGUACCCCAAACCGACACAGGUGGUCAGGUAGAGAAUACCAAGGCGCUUGAGAGAACUCGGGUGAAGGAACUAGGCAAAAUGGUGCCGUAACUUCGGGAGAAGGCACGCUGAUGGUAAGUGAAGUGACUUGCUCAUGGAGCUGAAAUCAGUCGAAGAUACCAGCUGGCUGCAACUGUUUAUUAAAAACACAGCACUGUGCAAACACGAAAGUGGACGUAUACGGUGUGACGCCUGCCCGGUGCCGGAAGGUUAAUUGAUGGGGUUAUCCUCACGGAGAAGCUCUUGAUCGAAGCCCCGGUAAACGGCGGCCGUAACUAUAACGGUCCUAAGGUAGCGAAAUUCCUUGUCGGGUAAGUUCCGACCUGCACGAAUGGCGUAAUGAUGGCCAGGCUGUCUCCACCCGAGACUCAGUGAAAUUGAACUCGCUGUGAAGAUGCAGUGUACCCGCGGCAAGACGGAAAGACCCCGUGAACCUUUACUAUAGCUUGACACUGAACACUGGUCCUUGAUGUGUAGGAUAGGUGGGAGGCUUUGAAGUGUGGACGCCAGUCUGCAUGGAGCCAUCCUUGAAAUACCACCCUUUAAUGGCUGGUGUUCUAACGUGGGCCCCUGAUCGGGGUUGCGGACAGUGUCUGGUGGGUAGUUUGACUGGGGCGGUCUCCUCCUAAAGAGUAACGGAGGAGCACGAAGGUCAGCUAAUCCUGGUCGGACAUCAGGAGGUUAGUGCAAUGGCAUAAGCUGGCUUGACUGCGAGCGUGACGGCGCGAGCAGGUGCGAAAGCAGGUCAUAGUGAUCCGGUGGUUCUGAAUGGAAGGGCCAUCGCUCAACGGAUAAAAGGUACUCCGGGGAUAACAGGCUGAUACCGCCCAAGAGUUCAUAUCGACGGCGGUGUUUGGCACCUCGAUGUCGGCUCAUCACAUCCUGGGGCUGAAGUAGGUCCCAAGGGUAUGGCUGUUCGCCAUUUAAAGUGGUACGCGAGCUGGGUUUAGAACGUCGUGAGACAGUUCGGUCCCUAUCUGCCGUGGGCGCUGGAGAAUUGAGGGGGGCUGCUCCUAGUACGAGAGGACCGGAGUGGACGCAUCACUGGUGUUCGGGUUGUCAUGCCAAUGGCAUUGCCCGGUAGCUAAAUGCGGAAGAGAUAAGUGCUGAAAGCAUCUAAGCACGAAACUUGCCCCGAGAUGAGUUCUCCCUGACUCCUUGAGAGUCCUGAAGGAACGUUGAAGACGACGACGUUGAUAGGCCGGGUGUGUAAGCGCAGCGAUGCGUUGAGCUAACCGGUACUAAUGAACCGUGAGGCUUAACCUU